GCCAGUGUGACGUAAUGAUUUGAGCAUUGGACUGCAAUUCUAGAGACCAGGGUUCGAUUCCCAGCUCUGCCA